rnacentral:rRNA from 1 species
CCUACGGGAGGCAGCAGUGAGGAAUAUUGGACAAUGGGCGCAAGCCUGAUCCAGCCAUGCCGCGUGCAGGAAGACGCAUCUAUGGUGUGUAAACUGCUUUUGUACGGGAAGAAACACUCCCUCGUGAGGGAGCUUGACGGUACCGUAAGAAUAAGGAUCGGCUAACUCCGUGCCAGCAGCCGCGGUAAU